ACUAUCUCCAUUGAAAAACUCAUUUCAUCAUCAAAUCCUUCCUUUUCAAGCUCUUUGGAACCUAGACUUGCUAAGGGAAUCACUUCACUUAAGGAAACGCGAAACGGUAGAUAGUGUGAAACAUUGUGGUUUUGGUUGGAAGCAUUGCCGAGACGAUGGAGCGCCAUCUGAGACCGUAGGUCGUGUGGACGGCGAGGACUUCGUGGACUAUCCCGGAGUGUAGAAAGUAGCGCUUUUUAGGCUACACUUUUGGUUAGGCUUAGGGCCUAGUUUGUAUUUUGGAUGACUGUAUGUCUUAUACAUUUAUACUCAGACAUGUUUAGUGCCUUUUGGCCUUGUGAUAUAUUUGGUUCAUAACUUGUAUCUUUUGGU